UACGGAGGGUGCAAGCGUUAUCCGGAUUCACUGGGUUUAAAGGGUGCGUAGGUGGGUCUGUAAGUCAGUGGUGAAAUCUCCGAGCUUAACUUGGAAACUGCCAUUGAUACUAUAGAUCUUGAAUACCGUUGAGGUCAGCGGAAUAUGUCAUGUAGCGGUGAAAUGCUUAGAUAUGACAUAGAACACCAAUUGCGAAGGCAGCUGGCUACACGAAUAUUGACACUGAUGCACGAAAGCGUGGGGAUCAAACAGG
rnacentral:rRNA from 1 species